UACGUAGGGGGGCAAGCGUUGUCCGGAAUUAUUGGGCGUAAAGAGCGUGUAGGCGGUCCGGUAAGUCAGCUGUGAAAGUCAAGGGCUCAACCCUUGAAAGCCGGUUGAUACUGUCGGGCUAGAGUCCGGAAGAGGCGAGUGGAAUUCCCGGUGUAGCGGUGGGAAUGCCGCAGAUAUCAGGAGGAACACCAAUAGCGAAGGCAGCUCGCUGGGACGGUACUGACGCUAAGGCGCGAAAGCGUGGGGAGCGAACAGG
rnacentral:rRNA from 1 species